rnacentral:rRNA from 1 species
AGAGUUUGAUCCUGGCUCAGGAUGAACGCUGGCGGCGUGCCUAAUACAUGCAAGUCGAGCGAACGGACGAGAAGCUUGCUUCUCUGAUGUUAGCGGCGGACGGGUGAGUAACACGUGGAUAACCUACCUAUAAGACUGGGAUAACUUCGGGAAACCGGAGCUAAUACCGGAUAAUAUUUUGAUCUGCAUGGUUCAAAAGUAAAAGACGGUCUUGCUGUCACUUAUAGAUGGAUCCGCGCUGCAUUAGCUAGUUGGUAAGGUAACGGCUUACCAAGGCAACGAUGCAUAGCCGACCUGAGAGGGUGAUCGGCCACACUGGAACUGAGACACGGUCCAGACUCCUACGGGAGGCAGCAGUAGGGAAUCUUCCGCAAUGGGCGAAAGCCUGACGGAGCAACGCCGCGUGAGUGAUGAAGGUCUUCGGAUCGUAAAACUCUGUUAUUAGGGAAGAACAUAUGUGUAAGUAACUGUGCACAUCUUGACGGUACCUAAUCAGAAAGCCACGGCUAACUACGUGCCAGCAGCCGCGGUAAUACGUAGGUGGCAAGCGUUAUCCGGAAUUAUUGGGCGUAAAGCGCGCGUAGGCGGUUUUUUAAGUCUGAUGUGAAAGCCCACGGCUCAACCGUGGAGGGUCAUUGGAAACUGGAAAACUUGAGUGCAGAAGAGGAAAGUGGAAUUCCAUGUGUAGCGGUGAAAUGCGCAGAGAUAUGGAGGAACACCAGUGGCGAAGGCGACUUUCUGGUCUGUAACUGACGCUUAUGUGCGAAAGCGUGGGGAUCAAACAGGAUUAGAUACCCUGGUAGUCCACGCCGUAAACGAUGAGUGCUAAGUGUUAGGGGGUUUCCGCCCCUUAGUGCUGCAGCUAACGCAUUAAGCACUCCGCCUGGGGAGUACGACCGCAAGGUUGAAACUCAAAGGAAUUGACGGGGACCCGCACAAGCGGUGGAGCAUGUGGUUUAAUUCGAAGCAACGCGAAGAACCUUACCAAAUCUUGACAUCCUUUGACAACUCUAGAGAUAGAGCCUUCCCCCUUCGGGGGACAAAGUGACAGGUGGUGCAUGGUUGUCGUCAGCUCGUGUCGUGAGAUGUUGGGUUAAGUCCCGCAACGAGCGCAACCCUUAAGCUUAGUUGCCAUCAUUAAGUUGGGCACUCUAAGUUGACUGCCGGU